rnacentral:rRNA from 1 species
AUUGAACGCUGGCGGCAUGCCUUACACAUGCAAGUCGAACGGCAGCACGGGGGCAACCCUGGUGGCGAGUGGCGAACGGGUGAGUAAUACAUCGGAACGUGUCCUGUAGUGGGGGAUAGCCCGGCGAAAGCCGGAUUAAUACCGCAUACGCUCUACGGAGGAAAGGGGGGGAUCUUAGGACCUCCCGCUACAGGGGCGGCCGAUGGCAGAUUAGCUAGUUGGUGGGGUAAAGGCCUACCAAGGCGACGAUCUGUAGCUGGUCUGAGAGGACGACCAGCCACACUGGGACUGAGACACGGCCCAGACUCCUACGGGAGGCAGCAGUGGGGAAUUUUGGACAAUGGGCGAAAGCCUGAUCCAGCAAUGCCGCGUGUGUGAAGAAGGCCUUCGGGGUUGUAAAAGCACUUUUGUCCCGGAAAAGAAAAACGCCGUGG